GAUGAACGCUGGCGGCGUGCCUAACACAUGCAAGUCGAGCGAUUCUCUUCGGAGAAGAGCGGCGGACGGGUGAGUAACGCGUGGGUAACCUGCCCUGUACACACGGAUAACAUACCGAAAGGUAUGCUAAUACGAGAUAAUAUGCUUUUAUCGCAUGGUAGAAGUAUCAAAGCUUUUGCGGUACAGGAUGGACCCGCGUCUGAUUAGCUAGUUGGUAAGGUAACGGCUUACCAAGGCGACGAUCAGUAGCCGACCUGAGAGGGUGAUCGGCCACAUUGGAACUGAGACACGGUCCAAACUCCUACGGGAGGCAGCAGUGGGGAAUAUUGCACAAUGGGCGAAAGCCUGAUGCAGCAACGCCGCGUGAGCGAUGAAGGCCUUCGGGUCGUAAAGCUCUGUCCUCAAGGAAGAUAAUGACGGUACUUGAGGAGGAAGCCCCGGCUAACUACGUGCCAGCAGCCGCGGUAAAAGUCAACGUCG
rnacentral:rRNA from 1 species